rnacentral:tRNA from 1 species
UAAUUGGUAAAUAAAUUAAUUAUUUGACUGAUAUAAAAGUGUUAGUUUUUUAAACUAAAUA